UACAGGGGGUGCUAGCGUUGUUCGGAAUUACUGGGCGUAAAGAGCUCGUAGGUGGUUUGUCGCGUUGUUCGUGAAAACUCACAGCUUAACUGUGGGCGUGCGGGCGAUACGGGCAGACUUGAGUACUGCAGGGGAGACUGGAAUUCCUGGUGUAGCGGUGGAAUGCGCAGAUAUCAGGAGGAACACCGAUGGCGAAGGCAGGUCACUGGGCCGCAACUGACGCUGAGGAGCGAAAGCAUGGGGAGCGAACAGG
rnacentral:rRNA from 1 species